GACGAACGCUGGCGGCGUGCUUAACACAUGCAAGUCGAACGGUGAACCGGGCUUCGGCCCGGGGAUCAGUGGCGAACGGGUGCGUAACACGUGGGCAACCUGCCCCUCACUCUGGGAUAACCCCGGGAAACCGGAGCUAAUACCGGAUACUCCCUACCGAUCGCAUGGUUGGUCGGGGAAAGGUCCGCCGGUGAGGGAUGGGCCCGCGGCCUAUCAGCCUGUUGGUGGGGUAACGGCCUACCAAAGCGACGACGGGUAGCUGGUCUGAGAGGACGACCAGCCACACUGGGACUGAGAUACGGCCCAGACUCCUACGGGAGGCAGCAGUGGGGAAUCUUGCGCAAUGGGCGAAAGCCUGACGCAGCGACGCCGCGUGGGGGAUGAAGGCCCUAGGGUUGUAACCCCUUUCGGCAGGGACGAAGCGAUCGUGACGGUACCUGCAGAAGAAGCCUCGGCUAACUACGUGCCAGCAGCCGCCGUAAAAC
rnacentral:rRNA from 1 species